CCACACCCGAGAAUGAUGCCUGCCCAGCUAGAAAUUGGAGGCUUUCUAUGUGGGGAAACUGGAAAAUGAUGAGUCCAAGAAAAAAGAGCUCUAGAUUAAUACUCAGUAAUCUCACACUCUUAUGCCUAGGUUCCUCUCAAAUCCCCCUAUAGUAAAACCCAGCAGCUGAUGAACCCUACUACUCUUGAAGUGCCUCCAGGCAACACUCUUAAAUAUGAUUAGCCAGUUACAAAUCACAAGACAUUUGUAAACAGUCUCAAGCAUGAAAGGAGAGACUAAGGAAAGAAUGUUUUCUAGAAUGAAGAGGCAAUUUCCUGUUCUGUUGUGUGCUGAGCAGAAGCCUCGUGGAUGCCGCACAAGCUUCUGGACACCACACUUUCCACAUGGACACUCAGCAAACUGUAAACAAUCUAAAUGAAAAGAACAAGGGCAUCUAGGAGAUGUGAGUUUCUGACAUAAGCAAGAGCAAGUAAACGAACUAGCAGAUCUACAUUUCACACGGACAGUGUGCCCUCAGAUAUGCCAGUUGUUCUUGAGGAAGUAGAAACACCUGUGUACCUUGGAGGGUGAAAAUAAACUCUGUUGGUAGAAACUUCAGAGAAACAAAAUUUGCUUUAAUGUAAGUUGAUAUUUUCUCAUAGUCAUAACUCUAAAAAGAUGGAAAGGACUACUUCAAGAAGUAGUGUAUUUUCCCCAAACCAGAAAGCUCAAGCAAAAGGAAUAAACUGCUAUGUGGAAAUGCUGGAAGGCCACACCUAAUUGCACUGGUUACACUCUCCAGUAAGCUUUGUGGGUACUAUUGCAUUAGGAAGACAGCAUUCAAUAUUUCACCUUUAAGUAAGGUGUUAGUUCUAGGUUUUUAUUCCUUAUCAGACUGAGGAAGAUUCCUUCUAUUUCAAAUGUGCUGACGAUUUUCAGCAUGAAUUACUGUGAGGAGGUUGAUAUUAGAAUUCCAUAGAACCCUAUAUUGCUAUGACUAACAUGCUCUAUGAGUUUCCCUAUCUCAGCCUCUCUUGCUUUUUUAGACACCAGUGUGCUAUUUCUAAUAUAUGGCGAGAAAUGAGUUUUAUACAUUCCAGAUUUUAUAAACUAGAGAACUUUUAAAAAUCUAGAUAAUUAUACAUUCAGUAUGUAUGUGAAUUUUUAAAAUGUCAACUUAAUUUUUUUUUUUUUUUCACAUGAGACUGAAGGGGAGGAGACAACUGUUUCUCAGAGUUUAAAAAAUGACAAAAGUUGGUCAGGCACAGUGGCUCACGCUUAUAAUCCCAGUACUUUGGAAAGACAAGGCAGGUGGAUCACCUGAGGUCAGGAGUUCAAGAUCAGUGUGGCCAACAUGGUGAAACCCCAUCUCUACUAACAGUAUAAAAUGAGUCGGGUGUGGUGGCAUGUGCCUGUAAUCCCAACCACUCAGAAGACUGAGGCAGGAGAAUAACUUAGAACCUGGGAGGUGGAGGUUGCAGUGAGCUGAGAUCACACCACUACACUCCAGCCUGGGCAACAGAGUGAAACUCUGUCUCAGAAAAAAAAAAAACAACAACAACAAAUGUUGGACAUCCAGGCUGCAACACGUGGUCAAGUGGUCCAGGUGGAAUUCAUUCUCAGCCCUCAUCCUUACUGUUACUGAUAGUUCACUUCUUCCCUUUUUAUUUUUCGCAGCUGAACUAAAAGUAGAAACUAAAAAUAAAAAUAAUGAAAAAAAAAAAAAAAAGCAAAGGAAUAAGAUCUCCUUAUUGUAAAGAGCAAAAGGGCCAUUUAAUAAACAACAAUAAAAACCAAGACAAGGCUGGGCACGGUGGCUCACGCCUGUAAUCCCAGAACUUUAGGAGGCCGAGGCGGGCAGAUCAGGAGGUCAGGAGAUCCAGACCAUCCUGGCUAACACGGUGAAACCCCGUCUCUACUAAAAAUACAAAAAAUUAGCUGGGCGUGGUGGUGGGUGCCUGUAGUUCCAGCUACUCAGGAGGCUGAGGCAGGAGAAUGGCAUGAACCCAGGAGGCUGAGCUUGCAGUGAGCCGAGAUCAUGCCACUGCACUCCAGCCCGGGAGAGAGAGCAAGACCCCAUCUCAAAAAAUAAAUAAAUAAAUAACGAAGACAAAAGCUGACAAGUAGCUGUGAAGUCCCAAGAUAAACUGCGGUUGAAAAGUUAAUUGUUUACCAAACUCUCAUGCGUUCGACUUGCCUGUUAUCAUUAAAGACAUUAAGGAAUACUAUAGAAAUUGACCUGUGUUCAGACACGUCCCUCCUAUAAACCACCUGUUGAAUUUCUUGUUCGUCAG
rnacentral:lncRNA from 1 species